GCUACAGUCAAGGCUAAGCCCGGGCUAAGCUCUCAUCUGGGGUUUGGAGUCCUCUGAGUGUUUGCUUGGAAUCCAUCUACACCUGGCUCUGAAAUUUUGCCUCUGUAAUGCAAGCACCGUCUCCUCCACUGGCCACCGUGAACUUGGAAUUUACAAAUGCCUCAGUCAGAGUUAAGGAAGACAGUUCAAGUGAAGCCAACCAAUGCCUACAUGCAGAGCAGUGCCUUGGAAUCCAGAGCCCCCAGCAGCAUGGUCCACGGAUAGAUGGGAGACUUCUUAACCAAACCAGCUAGAUUCGUGUGUUGGCGUGAGAUGCACACCCACAGGUGCUGUGCUUCUGCCAGGUACAGCCACUGUGGCCCACUAAAAGCAUUUGAAAUGA